GAUGAACGCUGGCGGCGUGCCUAAUACAUGCAAGUCGAGCGAACAGACGAGGAGCUUGCUCCUCUGACGUUAGCGGCGGACGGGUGAGUAACACGUGGAUAACCUACCUAUAAGACUGGGAUAACUUCGGGAAACCGGAGCUAAUACCGGAUAAUAUAUUGAACCGCAUGGUUCAAUAGUGAAAGACGGUUUUGCUGUCACUUAUAGAUGGAUCAGCGCCGCAUGAGCUAGUUGGUAAGGUAACGGCUUACCAAGGCAACGAUGCGUAGCCGACCCGAGAGGGUGAUCCGCCACCCUGGAACUGAGACACGGUCCAGACUCCUACGGGAGGCAGCAGUAGGGAAUCUUCCGCAAUGGACGAAAGCCUGACGGAGCAACGCCGCGUGAGUGAUGAAGGUCUUCGGAUCGUAAAACGCUGUUAUUAGGGAAGAACAUAUGUGUAAGUAACUGUGCACAUCUUGACGGUACCUAAUGAGAAAGCCCCGGCUAACUACGUG
rnacentral:rRNA from 1 species